UCUACAUAGAGGCCACGUGACGUAGCGUUGAACGUCAACCGUGACUUAUCGAUGACAGCUCUUCAACCACGACAGCAAAAAGCAAAUGGAAACAUACCCAGAAGAACGUGAAGUUGAUGGAAAACUUAAUAUUUCGAUUAUUGCUAUUAUUUCUAUUAUAAAUUAGUUCAUUUAACUAACUACAGUAAAAUAACGUGAAUUAUUCAUAGUUUGAGGUCGGUAUAAGUAAAACUAUAGUUAGUCUUUGGUGCGAAGUUAUCGUAUAAUCUAAAUACCGAUCUGAUUUAUAUUAAUAAGUAAGUACGGACAACUGAAUUAGUUGGAUCUGAGUUUAAUUAAGAUUUUGUUUUGCGUAUUAGCUCACCUAACCUCAGAAUCUGCCACUGGAACCGUAAUUGGAGUUUUUGGAUAUUAAGGAAACUAAUUUGUGAGUAAUUAUUGAAUUUAUUGGAUCGAUGUAUGUUAAAUAAA